UUGAACGCUGGCGGCAGGCCUAACACAUGCAAGUCGAACGGUAACAGGAAGAAGCUUGCUUCUUUGCUGACGAGUGGCGGACGGGUGAGUAAUGUCUGGGAAACUGCCUGAUGGAGGGGGAUAACUACUGGAAACGGUAGCUAAUACCGCAUAACGUCGCAAGACCAAAGAGGGGGACCUUCGGGCCUCUUGCCAUCGGAUGUGCCCAGAUGGGAUUAGCUAGUAGGUGGGGUAACGGCUCACCUAGGCGACGAUCCCUAGCUGGUCUGAGAGGAUGACCAGCCACACUGGAACUGAGACACGGUCCAGACUCCUACGGGAGGCAGCAGUGGGGAAUAUUGCACAAUGGGCGCAAGCCUGAUGCAGCCAUGCCGCGUGUAUGAAGAAGGCCUUCGGGUUGUAAAGUACUUUCAGCGGGGAGGAAGGGAGUAAAGUUAAUACCUUUACUCAUUGACGUUACCCGCAGAAGAAGCACCGGCUAACUCCGU
rnacentral:rRNA from 1 species